UGUUGAUAGUUGAUGAUGGAAGUAAGGAUAGGACAUCAAAGGUAGCUUUUAACUUUGUUAGGAAGUACAAGAUUGAUAAUGUAAGGGUCAUGCUGCUGGGAAGAAAUCACGGACAAGGAGAAGCGAUAAGAAAAGGAAUGCUUCAUUCACGUGGUGAACUCCUUUUGAUGCUCGAUGCUGAUGGGGCAACUAUGGUGACUGAACUCGAAAAGCUUGAAACACAGGUUUUGGGCUCAUAUAGUGAUGGCAUAUGAAUUACUCUUUUGUUGCUAC